GAUGAACGCUGGCGGCGUGCCUAAUACAUGCAAGUCGAGCGAACAGACGAGGAGCUUGCUCCUCUGACGUUAGCGGCGGACGGGUGAGUAACACGUGGAUAACCUACCUAUAAGACUGGGAUAACUUCGGGAAACCGGAGCUAAUACCGGAUAAUAUAUUGAACCGCAUGGUUCAAUAGUGAAAGACGGUUUUGCUGUCACUUAUAGAUGGAUCCGCGCCGCAUUAGCUAGUUGGUAAGGUAACGGCUUACCAAGGCAACGAUGCGUAGCCGACCUGAGAGGGUGAUCGGCCACACUGGAACGGAGACACGGACCAGACUCCUACGGUAGGCAGCAGUAGGGAAUCUUCCGCAAUGGGCGAAAGCCUGACGGAGCAACGCCGCGUGAGUGAUGAAGGUCUUCGGAGCGUAAAACUCUGUUAUGAGGUAAGAACAAAUGUGUAAGUAACUAUGCACGGCUUGACGGUACCUAAUCAGAAAGCCACGGCUAACUACGUG
rnacentral:rRNA from 1 species